GACGAACGCUGGCGGCGUGCUUAACACAUGCAAGUCGAGCGGAGCGGCGAACGGGUGAGUAACGCGUGAAUAACUGCCCCCCUCUCUGGGAUAACAGUUGGAAAAGGCUGCUAAUACCGGUUAGUGGGGGAUGGGUCGCGUCCUAUGAGCUUGUUGGUGGUGUAGUGGCCUACCACGGCGACGCCGGGCAGCCGGCAUGCGAGGGCGACCGGCCACAGACGGCUGGGUGACGGCCCAAACCGCUACGGGGGGCAGCAGUGGAGAAUAUAGCGCAAUUGGGGCAGCGCGGUUGCAGCAGCGUCGCGUGCGGGAUGACGGUCUUCGGGUUGGAAACCGCGUUCAGCCAUGACUCGGUAGUGGCAGAAGAAGCACCGGCUAACUACGUGCCAGCCGCCGCGGUAAUGC
rnacentral:rRNA from 1 species